CUGGGGAGGGUAAACGACCAGGGGAGAUGGUCGCUGGGCAGUGACAGAUGCUGGCUAGAGGUUCAGCUGCCGAGAAAGGCCACCCAGGGCCUUGAAAGCGGCCUUUCAGAGGAGCCGCGGCCAAAGCUGAGACCUAGGGGUGAAGGAGGGAAGGUGGGAGGGUCCAGGCAUGGGGAGCAGGAGAAGCCAGGUGUGGGAAAUGAAGCAGCCUGGACAUUGAGGACACUCUGGGCUGGACUUACCCGGCAACAGCAGCAGGUGGGAGUACUAGGAGGGGCCUCGGAGGCCACCUUGGGGAACUUGGGGCCAGCCCCUAGCACCACGAGCAUCCUGUGGCUAGUUUCAGGCUGUUUGUGUGGUGGUCAGGUUAGCUGCUGAGGAGGAGGUUCGGUUCAAGGCCACCUCAGUUCCCACCCGCCUAGGGCUCCUAAAGCUUGGCUUUGCUGUCUGCAGAUGCCCCCCCACACCCCCGGGCUCGCUCCCUGGGGUCCUCAGUCUUCCUCUCUGCCACGCCCCGUUGCCAGGCUGGACCCGCUGGGGAACCAGCUGCCCACUCUGGGAGGCCCCACCCGGAGGGCCCCCGGGCUGCUGGCCUUGCUGCUGCACCCGCCUUCCGUCUCCUCUCCUGCACCCAACAGCCUGCCUCACCUGAAGUGAAGAGAGAUUCCCUUGCUUGAGAGAAACCUGCUCCCUCUGCUGCUGGCUGCACGUGCAGAUCCCACCAAGGUCCAGGCCCGAGAGGGUAGCGGUGCAAGGCCUGCAGGCCCUUCAGUUCUCAAUGGGGAAAUAUGAAGGAGGUCCAAGCUCGUGGAGGUGGGAAUGGCAGAGAAGCCUGCGCCUGGGAAUGUGGAGUCUCCAGUGCAGCUGCUCCCGAUGCCCAGCUACUGCAGAAGCACAUCCCCCGCUUUCCAGAACUGUCCUGCCGGGCCCCUGUGGGCAUCUUCUCUUCUAAGACAGGACAGGUCCCUUAUCCAUUAGUCCUAGGGUGACUUUUAAAUGCCUCGAGGUGACUCUCCAGGGUCAUAGCAGCAUAAAGCCCAGAGCUCAUUUCCCACCUUGCAAAUCUAGGAAUACCCAAGGCUCGGCAGGAACCUGAGUCCUUUCCCACAUGCUCACCAAGGAGAGAAGGAAGGGUCACGUGAGCUCCUACUGCACCAUAUGAGCCGUGCAGUCCUGAGCAGCUCUUACCUUGGUUAAGUUCCUAUUUCCUUCUCUCUCAAGUCCGGGUGAUGACCCGCACCCCACUGCAGAUGCAGGGUGUGACAUGAAAAGCAAUUCCUGACUCAGGGUCUUCGACUAACAAUGCUCUGACCACGGUGACUCUUUUACCAUCUCCAUUUAUUAAAAAGACAGAGCCGGAAGUGACAUUGUGCAUGAACACCACAAGGCCUCUGUUUUAGGGACAGCGGGGCAGACUGGUAACCCAUCUGGGCCCAUCAGUGACUUGUCGUAUGGUCUCAAGCAAGUUUCUUGAGCUUUAAAGUAGUGUCUCUGCUGACUCCCUGGCAGAUCUGAACAGAGCUGCUCUGCCCAAGCUGCGUGGCUCCAGGGGGUGACUUCACAUCUCUCCACCUCAGGGGUCUCAUCUGCCUGGUGGCAUGUCCAAUAUGAACUGAGAUGAAUCUUAUCCCAGAAGCUGGAGCAGAGAGACUGUUCAGGAGGCCCCAGCAGCUGCUGUGGUUUGGGUCCUGAAUGUUCCCCAGAGGUAAGACAUGUGACAGCCUCCAGUGAUGUCACCUGGGAGUAACCUGCAGGUGAUCUAACACAUGCUUGGCAUCCCAUGAAGAGGCAACAUGCAACCAUGUGCUUGGAUGGCAUCCAACCUCCCUGAGGACCAACAGGAGUUUAGAGAUUCGUUUAUGGCCCUCCAGCAAACUCUUUCUUCUCCCUGGAGCAAAGGAGGUGGCUGAGGGUGUGAGUGCUCUUCCUGAGUUCCAGAGGUCUCACUUUCUUUGACUGAGAAUAAGUGUUGGUGUUAAGCUGUACUUUCCAAGAGAGACCUUUUUGUGCCAUAUGGAGAGGUUUCUGAGGGCAAUUCCAAAAGAGGAAUUUUAAUACUUUGAGCUGUUAGAAGUGUAUGAACUAUGGUCUCUUGAGAGGAGUAUUUCCCUCUGUAAAAAACAUCUCGUCCAUUUGCCACUGCAGUGCCUCCACAGGACAGGUGCCAUCUCUGGCUGGGCUGACUCUGGCUGGGCUGACUCUGGCUGGGCUCAGGGGAGGCUAGGCUGCCUGACUCUGUCUGCUUGUGGCUUGGAGGAGUCUGCACCGGAUUAGCUGCUUCUCUGUCCACAGCAUUAACAUGGGUUGGGAUCAGGUGACAUAUAUCAUUCUCAGGGGGGUGAUGGGACAAGCCCAUUACAUUUCUGCAUUUCUGGUCUAUCAAAGAUUCCAAGAAGACAGAUGCAGCUGCCCUGGUCUGCAGAAUUCAGCUUUAGUCUCAAAGGUUAAAGACAUUGAGUUUGAAUGGGGGUCUGUUUCACAUGUGGGUGGUUUAAAAAUCCACUCAGAUUACCCUUGUAUAGUGAAUCUCCCCCUGUAAAGGUGUACCUGUGUAUGCAUGUGUGUAUUUUAACCACUGAAUCACUCUACACAUGGUAUUCAAAUGGGAGAUAUGCUUUUUCCACCUUUAAAAAUAAUUCCAAAUCA